rnacentral:snRNA from 1 species
AUACUUACCUGGCAGGGGAGAUACCAUGAUCAUGAAGGUGGUUUUCUCAGGGUGAGGCUUAUCCAUUGCACUCCGGAUGUGCUGACCCCUGCAAUUUCCCCAAAUGUGGGAAACUCGACUGCAUCAUUUGUGGUAGUGGGGGACUGCAUUCGUGCUUUCCCCUG